CCGCCACCUGGCCAACAGUGAAAAGUACCAGACUCCUCCACACCAGAGUUUUAAAGAUUUGGAGAGAAAAUACUGGAAGAAUCGCCUCUAUGGUUGCCCCAUUUAUGGUGCUGACAUCAGCGGCUCCUUGUUUGAUGAAAACACAAAGCAGUAGAACCUUGGGCGCCUGGAAACCAUUCUGGAUCUGUUGGAGCAGGAAUCUGGAGUUGUCAUCGAGGGAGUCAACACACCCUACCUGUACUUUGGCAUGUGGAAGACCAUGUUCGCGUGGCACACGGAGGACAUGGACCUCUACAGCAUCAACUACCUGCACUUUGGGGAGCCCAAAACUUGGUAUGUGGUGCCCCCAGAGCAUGGCCAGCGCUUGGAGCUCCUAGCCAGGGAGCUUUUCCCAGGCAGCUCCAGGGGCUGUGGGGCUUUCCUGAGGCACAAGGUGGCUCUCAUCUCACCCACAGUGCUCAGGGACAAUGGGAUCCCCUUCAGCUGUGUGACUCAGGAGGCUGGGGAGUUCAUGGUGAUGUUUCCCUAUGGCCAUCACGCUGGCUUCAACCAUGGCUUCAACUGUGCAGAGGCCAUCAAUUUUGCCACCCCUCGGUGGAUCGAUUAUGGGUCAAGACCGGGUGGUAGUGGACCACAGGAAACUCAUACCUCCCCAGAAGCAGGACCUGAUCUCCUGGAAGGAUGUCAGUGCAGCCAGGAGAGCUUCACUGGGCCUGAGGCACUUCAGGCUUAGACAGGCUCUGCAACCCCCUCUGCCUGUGGCUUCCUGCAGUGAGACCUGCUGCAGCAGGAAUGUGCAUCAUGGUCAUUGUCCUUGUGCAUCUGGGCGACCACCUGCCGGAGAUGCUGCUGCCAGGUCCAGGGCCACAGCCUACAGCUCCCAAGAGCUCAGCCGAGGCCCACUGGCCUCCCAGCGUCCAUCUGUCCCAGAUACCCACCUGUCAGCUGGCCAUCCUUCCCGUCAACUAAGGGUUCAAGAGCCGAUCCACCAGGGUCCAGUCAAGAAGUGCAGGUUGGUGGUCACGGAGCACAGAGCUCUGGAUUCAGAGCUUCAGUUCCAACGUGUGCAUGGAGCUUUGAUGGUCAACCCUGUACCUAAAAGCCCUGGACUUCAAUAUCUUGCUACAGCUUCUGAAUGUAGCUUAACCUCUGAUCCCUAAACUCAGGGGCUGCCUUCAUAGGCCACUACUCUGCUGUCUGGAGGCUUGCUGAGAUCUGUCAUAGGUAACUCACUGAACUUUGAGCCACUUUGUAGGACACUGAUCAUGCAUAAGUGAACUGUGAUGCCUCCAGAUGUUGCUCAGUCCAGUGGUAAUUAUUAAAUUCGCCAUAUUUGUCCUUCCUCCUAGACCUUGGGAUACUUUUCAACUUUGGUAACUUCUGCAUCUUAGCUGAAGUUUUAUCCACUGGACACUAUGUCUCAGAACUAGGUUCCACUAAGAUUGCCGGGAACCUGAACUUUGGGGGUCUCCCAUCCUCUGGACCAACUGUGGAGGGUGCUGUACUUUCAGGGCUUUGGUUCUCCUUUACUUUCCUUCCAUUUUCUCCCUCACUCUUCCCUAUUUCUUGCAAACUGAGGUACUUUUGACCGAUUAGUUUAACAGAGUCACAGAAAGGUUUGACCUUUGUAAGUUACUGAUGUAUUUAAAAUGUGUUGUUAUCAAGUAUUUGUUCAUAGAUAAAUAAAUUUAAAUGUUAAAAUUU
rnacentral:lncRNA from 1 species